GCACAAGCGGAGGAACAUGUGGUUUAAUUCGAUGAUACGCGAGGAACCUUACCUGGGCUUAAAUGUAGAGUGCAUUUUUUAGAGAUAGAAAUUCCCUUCGGGGCUUUCUGCAAGGUGCUGCAUGGUUGUCGUCAGCUCGUGUCGUAAGAUGUUCGGUUAAGUCCGCUAACGAGCGCAACCCUCGUCGUAUGUUAUAUGUGUCAUACGAGACUGCCGGUAAAAGCCGGAGGAAGGUGAGGAUGAUGUCAAGUCAGCAUGACCUUUAUAUCCAGGGCUACACACACGCUACAAUGGUCUGUACAAUGGGUAGCCAAGCCGCGAGGCGGAGCCAAUCCUGAAAGCAGGCCUCAGUUCAGAUUGCAGUCUGCAACUCGACUGCAUGAAGCCGGAGUUGCUAGUAACCGCAGGUCAGCAAUACUGCGGUGAAUACGUUCCCGGGUCUU
rnacentral:rRNA from 1 species